GCAUCUUAGAGCAUGAUUAUCCAAGAAUUUUAAGAGAGUUUCUAAAGAAAAUCACUGAUUUAAUUAAAUCAAAAGUCAUAAUAAUUUGAGUAACCAAUCCUUAAUGUGAGAUUUUGGAAACUACUUUAAAGAAGGGUUUUUAAAACACGUGUCAGCAUAUCAUAUCAUGAAGUUUAAUUUUUUUUUUCUUUCUUAUUUUUUCUUUUCUCUUUUUCUUUUACUCAGUUUCUCUCGUUCUCCGCCUUCUUUGUCGGUGUCUCCUUCUCCUCUCAGAUUAUCCGGUGGACGACGAUGAGUUUAUGUUAAUCAGAAGCAUGAAGCCCUCUGGUUCGCGAGACCUCUAUUCCGCCAUUGAAAAGGCUCUUAAAGAUUCACCAAUCGCCGGAUUAUUCCCUCCUCUUCCCCCAAUGGUUUCCACUUAUAGUUGCUCUUGUAGCCUCAGGUCAUGAAAGGUUUGUUGCAAGUGUGAAGCAAGUGUCAUUGUCAUCACUCACCUCGUGAAGCAAGUGUGAAGCAAGUGUCAUUGUACAAGUUUUGUAUGCAUGUGCGUAAGCAGUCACGGAGUUGUAUUACAAAAGUCAUGAAUAGAGCGUUUGUAUGCUAGUGUAUUAUCAGUGUAAAACUUUUGUAUGCUAGUCAGUCAGUCAUGAAUAGAUUGUUUGUAUGCUAGUGUCUUCUAUUAUCAGUCAGUAAGUCACAAGCUUUUGUCCAAUUCACGGACUGUUCUUUCCUUGUAUUCAAGUCAUGAAGACCAUAAAAGGCUUCUAUUA